rnacentral:rRNA from 1 species
CGACCGGCGCACGGGUGAGUAACACGUAUGCAACCUGCCCGUCUCAGGGGGAUAAUCGUCGGAAACGGCGUCUAAUACCCCGUAUGAAGCUGGACGGCAUCGUCUGGUUUUGAAAGAAUAUCGGAGAUGGAUGGGCAUGCGGCGCAUUAGCUAGUUGGCGGGGUAACGGCCCACCAAGGCGACGAUGCGUAGGGGUUCUGAGAGGAAGGUCCCCCACACUGGUACUGAGACACGGACCAGACUCCUACGGAAGGCAGCAG